GCCCCCGUAGUUAAAUGGAUAUAACAGAUCCGUCCUAAGGAUUAGUUGUGGGUUCGAUUCCUGCCGAGGGCA
rnacentral:tRNA from 1 species